GCCGCAACCCGGUCCCCCGGGACAGGAAGGCUGGGCGGGGGCGCGGCGGGGGCGGAGCUCGGCGUCCUGCUGCUGCCGCUGCCGCCGCCGCCGCUGCCGCUGCUGCCGCCGCCGCUGCUGCCAACGCCGCGGCUGCCACCGCCUGCGCUCCUGCCGCCCCUUCCUCGGAUGCUCCGGCGGGGCAGCGCUGCCCUGCGAGGACAGAUGGGUGCAGCCCGGGCCUGAUGGGUGAGCUGUCGAGCACGUGAGCUCCCACCUCCAAUUCGGCUCGGCGCCCGGCGGCGGCGGCGGCGGCGGCGGCGGGCGGCGGCGGCGGCGGCCCCGCGGUGGGGGCGGCCCCCGCGGUCUCCGCCCGGCUCCUGCGCGCCGCCUCUGCUCUUUGCAUAGUAAUUUCAGUUCCUGCUGGCACCCAGCUCGCUCCCGGAACAGGUCUGCAGAGGACCUCCGCUCCCGAGCCCGCCUGAGCCGGCGGCGUGGCGACGAGAGCCGCUGCCUGGGAUAUGCGACGGGGAGCCCCCGCCACAGCGCAGGCAGGGGUCCCGCCGCGCCGGGGAGAGCCGGGCGACCGCAGACGGAUCCUUCCAAAGACUCGCCCAUUAACGGCACCUUCACUCUGAGCUGCGACUACUUCCCAGCGGGAGCGCUGCUCAGGGGAGAGCCUGAGGUUUCCCGCCCUGCAGUUCCAUGGGGACUGUACCUGAUCCCCUGAGAUCAGCUAAAACAUCUCUGAUCGCGGCUUCUGGAAAAGAAGAGGAUCCAGGAGAGGCACGAGCUGCCUCAUCCCAGCCUCGACCGGCCCUCCUGUGUAAGAACACAAAUGGCUUUUCCAGCCCUCCUGAAGAAGCAGACCUGAGCCCCAAGCCAGCUGCUGUGGCUCUGAUGCAGGCCGGUGAGCAUGAGACCCCCCGGCCAGCCAGCUCUUCUCCGGGCACUGUCAGUGAGGUGGGGAAAGCCUCUCCCACACUCAACUCCCCUGGCAAUACCCAGCUGCCAGGGAGCCGGGAGCCCACAGCACCAGCCCCGUGUUCUGAGGCAGGAAGGGAUCUUCUUAUGCACGCAGCCUUUACAAUGCCAGGCGAUGGGCACACCCACCCGGCCAUCCCAGGGCACCAGCCCAACACCAGCCCCCCAUCAGGACCUGAAGAUACCCCGGUGAAAUCAGAGAGAACUUCAGAUGGGGAGAAACCUGAGAAGUCAAACUGUCCCGUGGGGGGCAUCUGUGGCAACAGCAAAGAUCCAUGCCCUGUGAUUUCCCUUCUCGAGAAACAAUCCCUGGAAUGGUGGUGCCCGCUGCAGAUACAGCAGCCAGGGCACCCAGUCUUGCCUCCACUCCUACAGGUGGACCUGAAAGGGAAAGGCAGCGAGCCCUUUGUGAUUCCCAGACAAGGCAAGACCCUCCAGCGAGAGAAGAUGGAUGUUCAGGGGAUAAACGGCCCUCUGCCGCCACCUCAGACACCCAGGCCAUGACUUCGGGGACACCUCAGCCAUCUCACCUCCCUGGCCAAGAGUCGACGUUGCCUCCAGAUCCAGAGAAGGCGCCGCUGCCAGCACCGCUCCGGGGGUCAAUGUUCAAAGAAGCAAGUACCAUGACCAACCAAGCCGAAAAUGAGCCCGAGGACGUUCCCACCAGGGCUCGGCAGGAUGCGGAAGUGCAGGCGGUGGCCAGUGUGGAGAGCAGAUCCGUGUCCACCAGCCCCAGCAUCCUCACUGCAUUCUUAAAGGAAACUCCGGCUCCAGAGCGGUUCGAACCACAAGAGCAGCUGCGUGUGGUUUGCCACGAGAGCAGCAGCAGCAGCAUAAGCCACACCAUGGAGCUGUUGGACCACACCCUAGCCUCCGGGGGGCGGGCAUCAUGCCAGAGGUGCACAUCCAGGCUGCUGCAGCUGUGUCGGCAGCUUUGGAAUGUAAAUCAGUGAGCCCACUGGGUGGGGUCCCUAAAACCUCAUCAGUCAACGUGGCUCAGGAUGCAUGUAAAGAAGACGGGAGGUCAGCACGCAUGACCCCAGCAAGGGAAGAGCCCGCCUCCAGACAGCUUUUGGGUACCCACUCUACCUCCCUGAAAGCUAGCCCCAGUGACCAGAUUUCUCUCAGUGCAGGACAUCAGGCUGAAACAAGUCUUGGGAAAUUUGAAAUGAAGCCAUCUGAGUUUGCAGCGGAAAGCAACAAUGGCCACAAAACUGACCCAGACUGCAAAUUCUCCAGCUCCUGUGGCCCUGCCAACAAAGCUGACCAGUCUGAAAGCUUGGAUCUUGCUGGUAAAGGGGAUACAAGAGAAAAGAGGCUUGCAUCUCCUCAGAUAGUAAAAGAAGAACCUCCUGGCCUCGAUAUCCUGGACGCAAGGGCAAAGGCAGAAGCCAAAACCCUACUGCUCCAUCCCAAGUCUCAAGAAAGCAGAGGGGCAGCGCCAGCCUCCAGUCCUACACCCUCCCCAGUUAGAAAAAGCCAGGAGGUCACCGUGGAAGACAACAGACAGACCAAGACGGCCGCCAGCCUCAGCCUGCCAUCUGAUGCCAUGGGGGACUCCAGCCCAGGUUCUGGCAAGAGGACCCCUUCUCGCUCUGUCAAAGCCAGCCCCCGCCGGGGCAGCCGGGUCAGCGAAUUCCUCAAGGAGCAAAAGUUAAACGUGACAGCGGCGGCCGCCCAGGUGGGACUCACUCCAGGAGAGAAGAAAAAGCAGCUUGGUGCCGAGUCCAAGCUGCAGUUGAAACAGUCCAAGCGUGUCCGGGAUGUGGUGUGGGACGAGCAGGGCAUGACCUGGGAGGUGUAUGGAGCUUCCCUGGACCCGGAGUCCCUGGGCAUCGCCAUCCAGAACCAUUUGCAAAGACAGAUCAGGGAACACGAGAAAUUAAUCAAAGCUCAAAACAGCCAGAGCCGGAGAUCCAUCUCCUCGGAUGCUUCUUCAAACAAAAAGCUCAAAGGCAGGCAGCACAGUGUUUUCCAGUCCAUGCUGCAGAACUUCCGACGCCCCAACUGCUGUGUUCGCCCUGCUCCUUCUUCUGUGUUAGAUUGAAAGGAACAUGUACGGAAGCAAUUGCGUACAUUUGGGGUCUUCCUAGGUGUCCGUUGGUGGGUCUCAAAGCUUCCUUAGUUUUUUCCGAGAGACCAGGACGCGAAAGCAGCGAUUAACUCUAGGAAAUUGCUCUUAAGAACGGUAGUUUCCUUUGAUUGGGGCUUCAUCAAUAAAACAUCAUUUCAAUUUGAAAGAAAGAAAAGAAGCAAGCCUCCCUGGAGUUUCAUGACCUUAAUUAGGAGGAAAUAAUAUUCACUGGGUUUUUUAAUAUGAUGUUGCUGGUAGAACUAACAUCAAUAUACAGGUGUCAUUUUGUAUCACUGCCUCCGUUUAUCACACUGUGGUAUUUCCAUUAAAAUCCCUGCUUUCCAUGAAAAAUAGCAAAAGCACCGCUCUACCGCUCUACUUUCUAGACUGCUGCGGUAAGAAUGCUAUUAUCAGACAACUUGAAGUAGGUGAUGAGCGGAUAACAUGUAAAAAAUUGAAAUGUGACUCAUUCCUCAGCAAGAGGAUAUUAAAUUAAAGCAUUUAAAUGCUUAAAAUGCCCAAUAGGAAGGAAUAUUGUAAACAUCGGCAGAUAACCCGUUUUAUAAACCUUGUUGUAUCUAUCGAUAAAUGUAAGAGAGUUCUAUUAGGAAAAAUUAAUACCCACAAUAAAACAUGGGUUAUAUAGAUAUCCAUUUUCCUGCACUGAAGGCAAAAGUCAUCUCUGUGGCUGUGAUUAGAUUAAAUUCAUAUUUCCUUACCCUGGAGGAAGUACAUGUGACGGAAUUCUGAAAAAGAGUCAUCGAAUUAUUGAUAAUACUAAACUUUAAGUUGUUUGUUUUCCAAUAACAUUCUACCAAGACAUUACGAUUCUGAUUCUCAACAAAGGGGAAAUCAUACCUAAACAUGCACACCACAGCUACACCUGACAUAACAAAUUAAGAACUAACCAUGGAUUCUUUCGAAGCAAUUGGACUGUCCGUGAAGGGUGCAGACACAGACCACAGGCACGGCAUUCUCAGAGCCAGAGAAGGGCCAUGACAGGUGCUAGGCUUGGAACUUCGAAUGGAUUUUUUCAUAAAGCCCAUGUUUCAGUUUCUUACCAACGGGCCUCUAUUAAGAAGGGUAUCAAAAGUAGAAAUUACCAUUAAAUUAGCCAUCAAAUUACUAUUAAUGCAUUCAGUCUAAAACUCUCUCUCGGCCUAAAAUACCCAUUUGUCGCGUGCCCGUUUCCCUUCUGUAGGAGAGAUGCCUUUGCCAGGAUGUCACCUCCCCGCCAUGUCCCUCACAGUCUGGCAUAGGUGCUGUGUACACACAGGGAAACACCCUGUGUACACAGCCGCAGCUGUCAGUGGCACCCACUCCAGAUGGGAGGCCCCAGGUCACCCUCUGCUCUGAACUGGCUAGAACAGGCUGUUCCUGCAUUAAACUGGGAGAAAAGGGAGAAUUCAGCAUCUGGUGAUGGUAUUUGUUUUCAUGAGUUUGGAGUAACCACAUGACUUAUAAAUAGUGAAAGGAAGCGGAGGAUGAAGGCAGUUGUAGGCAUUUGUCACACAUGAAAAGUACACUGCUAAGAGCUCCAUUGUGGCUCAGUGGGUUAAGAACCCAACUAGUAUCCAUGAGGAUGCAGGUUCAAUCCUUGGCCUCACUUAGUGGGUUAAGGAUCAGGCAUUGCUGCAAGCUCAGAUGCGGCUCGGAUCCUGCAUUGUUGUGGCCAUGGUGUAGGCCUCAGCUGCAGCUCCAAUUCAACCCCUAGCCUGGGACCUUCCCUACGCUCCAGGUGCAGCCCUAAGAAGACAAGAAAAAUUAAUUAAUUAAUAAAAUUAAAUAAAGAAAACGAAAUUUGGUGUUGUAGUGGUGCCCCCUCAAAUUAAAACAAUGUGUGAUGGAGUAACUUGGAUUUUCUCUGGGACUGGAACUCACCUUUACUUCUAAAUCUUGAAUUUUUUUUUCUACUCAACGAUCUUCACCACACUCUAAAGAUUGUCCCAAAAUGUUACAGAAGUUUUCUUCCCACUCCCUGAGCCCUAUAGAAGGAACAGCUUUGAAAAACAGUCACAGAAAUAGAUCAUCAAAUGGAGAAAUAAGACAGGAGCCUAGUCAAGACAGCAGUGUUUCCGCAUCAUGAUACCGUAAGGACUCUCGCGAUAAAACCUCGACUUGAAAAUGUUCUUUCACUUGGAACCAUGACACAGCAGACAAAUUCCAGACAUCGUUUGUGUUUCCUUAGGUUCACUCAACAAAUGAAAUUGCAAGACAAUUUACAUGGCAGACUCUUUGAACCUCCUCACCUGCAAGACACAAAUUGGGCUGAACGCUCUUUCGGUCCUUAAUUUCUUUUCGUUCUGUUUUGGUGCCUUGAAUGCCGUUUAGUUGUUGCAAUAAAUGGAGGAAAUAUUUUAUUAAGUAAAAAAUACAAGUAAGCCAUAUUUACUUAUAUAACACCUAAAUAUUUAAAAGUUGAAGAUGCUAUAUGGCUUACCUGGAGAAUUCUAGAAUUUUUCAUUUAAAUAUUGAUUUUAAAGAGAGAUGAGUUAUAACAAAAGAUGAGUUAUAACAGCUAAAUAUUUAAAAGGUGAAGAUGCUAUAUGGCUUACCUGGGGAAUUCUAGAAUUUUUCAUUUAAAUAUUGAUUUUAAAGAGAGAUGAGUUAUAACAAAAGAUGAGUUAUAACACCUAAAUAUUUAAAAGGUGAAGAUGCUAUAUGGCUUACCUGGGGAAUUCUAGAAUUUUUCACUUAAAUAUUGAUUUUUCUAUUUUUGUGACGACCAGAAAAAUGUGAUCACUGCAGCUGUCAUGGAUUUCUUUAUCUUCAGUGCUUUUCUAGUUAUGGCUUUCUGGAUUAUGGCCCCAAUGCCACAGACCAACUGCUUUACAUACAGGAAAGUCCUAAUUAAGCUCUGCCUUUUGGAUCAGUGGCGGAAGUGGAACAUUGUGUCAGGUCCAAGUUAACCAGAGACCUUUUUGUUGGCAUCCAAAAUGAAAUAUCUGUGAAAAAUAUUACUGUGUUUUCCUACCUCGACCAAGUUCCGCUAUAUCGAAUAUAAUUUGAUUUUUGAUGAUUUUUAACCUUUAGGAUGGUUAUAAUUAUUAUUUUUGGCUACUGUUGUUCUCCAUAUUAUCAGUUCAAUACCCUCACUGAAAUAAAGUGGACUGAAUAUGCACGUGUAACGUAUCCCUUGGGUUUUGGAACCAAAUCCUUAAUAGGAGCUUGUCAUCUUAAAGUAAAAAGCAGAUGAGAAAAGCAUCUUUGGGUUGUAUCCCAGAGUCUUAAGCUUUCGUGGUUCCUGUUCUAAUGUACUUCCUCACAUCUCUGCGAGUUUCUGUCAUUCAGAAAUACCUGUAUAUUGCCACAUGAAGACUAGAAUAUGACGCAACUUUUCAAAUUUUCUACAGAGCACAUACGUGAGUAUGCCGUUAGUGUCCACUAUUGGGCCUUUGUUGUAUCCACUUUGUUAUCAUCUUGCUGCCAAAAUGAGAGAAAUUGUCUUCUCUUCUUCCUACAUCCUGUGCAAGUGUUUAAAAAAAAGGGUCUACCGCUGGUCCUGUGUAAUUCCCCACACCUCUUGUCUACUUUUUAAGAAUCAGUAAUAAGAAAAAUACAUUAGGAUAAGGUUUGCAUAUGGCUAUAUGGGUUUUUUCUGAUAAUUGGGCACCUGUACCUUUGUGUGGGCCUCUGCCUGUCUGACUUAACUCAUCGUCUACAAUGCUGCCGUGGAGAUGACACUGCCUCCUCUCUCCAGUGUCAUCCUAGCGGUAUUUGAGAAAUGAAGCCUGUGAAUUUUCCUCUGUGAUAAUGAUACAGUGAACUCAGCAGACUCUUAGACAAAUGACCAUCUUGUCUCCACCCUUGUUUGGUCUACACAGUAAAUCAGAAGUCUCGCCCACGUCUGCCUCCAUGUGUGCUACUUUGUAUUCCCAUCUGAGCAUCUUGUUUUCUGUUAGCAAUGUUCUUUUCUUCCAUGUGUGCCCUUUGGGAUGAAUCUCUCCAAAGGUGGGUCAGCUGCUGGCACCUGGCAAUUAGCAGGUGAUAGGCUGAAUCUCCCGCCCAUCCUUGUAACGCUACCCUUCUUAGUGAAAUCCUGACACCACAAGUAAUUAUAAAUGUCAUCUGCGCAGAUACAUGGCUUGAUGUCUACAACGUUUUAGACAUUUUUUGCAAAA
rnacentral:lncRNA from 9 species